ACUGCUAUAAAGAUUGCUAUAAGGUAAUAUGUCUAUGUGUAUUAGUCAGGGUAAUCUCAGUGGCUUAACACAAGACAAGGUGUUCACUUGGCAUCCUCCUACAUGGUUAUUCAGAAUUCUGGUUCCUUUAUCUCAUUGCACCGCUGUUCACUGGCUGCUCUGCAUUUAACCAGCAAAAAUGUUGAGAGUGAGGAAAAUCCUGCAGUACGUCUUGUGGGCAGGCUUGGAAACGGAAUUCAACACUUCCAUAAACAUUUCACUGGCCAGAACCUGAUCCCCCCGGUUCCAAUCUACAUGCAAGGGAAGCUGCUAACACAGUCCUGUUUGCCUGCAAGAGGAAAGGAGAUUGAAAAGAAAUUCAUGCUAAUGGUAUCCAAUGAAACAAGCUAAGAUGCAUGAAGAAAGAGUUUACGAUUUCCCUUUCUCCUUCCAGCCCCCACCCAGGUAUAUAUCCCACAGUGAUAUAACUGAUCUAAUAAAAUCCUAUGCUGUGGAGGCAAGUGAUAAAAUUAUUGCUGAAGAGUUCCCACUAGACUUGAAAAGGCAAUUAACCAGAUAUCACAGUUUGAUAGGCCCAGAUUAUAGACAGCCCUGAGCGUCAGGCUGUGCAUUCGAUUCUCCAGGUAGUGGACACUCAACAGCUGAGUGACCUGGUCAAAGCGUCACUUUAGAGAGAGACUGGCAAAAUGGAUGGCAGAGAUUGAAGUGUGAAUUUAAGGUAGUGAGCCAUUUAGAAGCUGCUUGGGAGUGAUCUUUUUUGGAUUUCAGAAAAUGAAGGAGACAGAGGGAGAGCUUCAGAAAUGUUGCACCAAAGUCAAUCCAGAACCUUGCCUUCCUUUGUAGUUGUUUCAUCACAUUUAAAUGCAGCAAGAAUGUCACCAUCAACUUUUCACAGGUUAACUUCAUCUCACAACUUCUAGCCCAAAUUUCAAGUUUGGUCCCAACCUUGCGUGAAUAUCUAAGAACAAGCUGAUUGAAUUAAAAAAGAAAAAAAAU
rnacentral:lncRNA from 1 species